AAAAAAAGCUUCUAGGGUUCCGAUUUCCUGGAAAUGUCUGGUCCAAGAGAAGCGGGCUGCCUUAAAAGAAUUAUUGUUACAAGAUAAAUAUUUAGUAGGUGGCUACACGGCGGGAAAAAAACCCGGGAGGA
rnacentral:sRNA from 2 species